rnacentral:SRP_RNA from 16 species
AUUGCACAUGUCGUCGGUGGCGAAUUUGGGGAGGAAUUACUGUGCGGCCUAUCAUAGUUUGAAGGUGAUUGGAAAUGUCGGUCCGGGGGAUUUGGUGUUGGUGGAUGGUGCUUCGGGAGGGGUGGGCAUGGCGUCGGUG